UACGUAGGGUGCGAGCGUUGUCCGGAAUUAUUGGGCGUAAAGGGCUCGUAGGCGGCCUGUCGCGUCUGCUGUGAAAGCCCGGGGCUCAACCCCGGGUCUGCAGUGGAUACGGGCAGGCUAGAGUCCGGCAGGGGAGACUGGAAUUCCUGGUGUAGCGGUGAAAUGCGCAGAUAUCAGGAGGAACACCGGUGGCGAAGGCGGGUCUCUGGGCCGGUACUGACGCUGAGGAGCGAAAGCGUGGGGAGCGAACAGG
rnacentral:rRNA from 1 species